UUAGAUUGGUGCAAAAGUUAUUGUGGUUUUUGCCAUUGAAAGUAAUGCCAAAAACCGCAAUGACUUUUACACCAACCUAAU
rnacentral:miRNA from 1 species